GAUGAACGCUGGCGGCGUGCUUAACACAUGCAAGUCGAACGAAGAUGCCGGAGUGCUUGCACUUUGGCAGACUGAGUGGCGGACGGGUGAGUAACGCGUGGGUAACCUGCCUUAUACAGGGGGAUAACAGUUGGAAACGACUGCUAAUACCGCAUAAGCGCACAGUACCGCAUGGUACAGUGUGAAAAACUCCGGUGGUGUGAGAUGGACCCGCGUCUGAUUAGCUAGUUGGCAGGGCAACGGCCUACCAAGGCGACGAUCAGUAGCCGGCCUGAGAGGGUGAACGGGCCACAUUGGGACUGAGACA
rnacentral:rRNA from 1 species